AUUGAACGCUGGCGGCAUGCCUUACACAUGCAAGUCGAACGGCAGCACGGGAGCAAUCCUGGUGGCGAGUGGCGAACGGGUGAGUAAUAUAUCGGAACGUGCCCAGUAGUGGGGGAUAACUGCUCGAAAGAGCAGCUAAUACCGCAUACGACCUGAGGGUGAAAGGGGGGGAUCGCAAGACCUCUCGCUAUUGGAGCGGCCGAUAUCAAGAUUAGCUAGUUGGUGGGGUAAAGGCCUACCAAGGCAACGAUCUGUAGUUGGUCUGAGAGGACGACCAGCCACACUGGGACUGAGACACGGCCCAGACGCCUACGGGAGGCAGCAGUGGGGAAUUUUGGACAAUGGGCGCAAGCCUGAUCCAGCAAUGCCGCGUGCAGGAAGAAGGCCUUCGGGUUGUAAACUGCUUUUGUCAGGGAAGAAAUCCUCUAGGUUAAUACCCUUGGGGGGAUGACGGUACCUGAAGAAUAAGCACCGGCUAACUACGUGCCAGCCGCCGCCGUAACAC
rnacentral:rRNA from 1 species